AGUGUUAUUUUUAAAUUGAGUGGAGCUCCUAGUCAGAUUAAAUUAAGAUCGGGUACAUUUAUACUAUAAAUAAGAAAAUGUUGAAAAGUUUAUUUAGCUUUGGCUAUCGAAGAGAGUUGCAUCGUCUACACGGAGUGACUUUGCUCAUGAAGAGUGGCUUUGUCCAUGGAGAGGGGUUGCCGUUCAUUGUAGAGAGAAACUUUGCCCUUUGAUGUGGGGCCACUUGCCUAUCUAUUGAUGAGGGGCCACUUAACUAUCUAUUGAUGAAGGGCACUUGUCCAUUGCAAUGAAGAGACGUUUCUGUCUAAGGUAUUGAAAAGACAUAAAA
rnacentral:misc_RNA from 1 species